CCCUUAGAUGUCCGGGGCCGCACGCGCGCUACACUGAAGGAAUCAGCGUGGCUUUCUCCCUGACCCGAAAGGGUUGGGAAACCCGUUGAAUCUCCUUCGUGAUAGGGAUUGGGGCUUGAAAUUGUUCCCCAUGCACGAGGAAUUCCCAGUAAGCGCGAGUCAUAAGCUCGCGUUGAUUACGUCCCUGCCCUUUGUACACACCGCCCGUCGCUACUACCGAUUGAACGGUUUAGUGAGGGCCUCGGAUUGGUCUCGGCCCGCUCUUUACCGGGCGGCGCCGUUGGUCGAGAAGACGCUCGAACUUGAUCGUUUAGAGGAAGUAAAAGUCGUAACA
rnacentral:rRNA from 1 species